rnacentral:rRNA from 1 species
GACGGGGGGGGCAAGUGUUCUUCGGAAUGACUGGGCGUAAAGGGCACGUAGGUGGUGAAUCGGGUUGAAAGUGAAAGUCGCCAAAAACUGGCGGAAUGCUCUCGAAACCAAUUCACUUGAGUGAGACAGAGGAGAGUGGAAUUUCGUGUGUAGGGGUGAAAUCCGGAGAUCUACGAAGGAACGCCAAAAGCGAAGGCAGCUCUCUGGGUCCCUACCGACGCUGGGGUGCGAAAGCAUGGGGAGCGAACAGG